AGAUCCUCUCUGAGCUUUUGUGCGCUGGUGUUUUUCUCUGUAUAAUGUGACGAUGAUGAGAGUCUGAUGAAGAAAUAAACUGUUAAACGACUGGCUGAUGGAGGGUUUUUCCACAGAGAGUCACUUUGCAUCAGCACAUGCUUCAGCGCUCCGAGUGUUUAUAGCGUUCAGACUCAACACUUUAUAACACACUGCUGUUUACCACGGUACAAAACCAACAAACACAAUGAAUCUCUUCAGCAGCUUCAUCUGGAUUCUGGCAGCUUUUAUUCCAGCAGCAUCCAGAGGAAUCACUGUGACUCAGCCUGAAGCUGUGACUGUUUCUGAAGGACAAGACGCCACUAUAAAGUGUAAAACUGAUGCUGGAAUAUUUAGCUGGGGUUUAGCUUGGUAUCAGCAGAAACCUGGAGAAGCUCCUAAACUCAUCAUUUAUCAGGUAGAUGAACGGUAUGGUAACAGUUUCAGUCGAUUCAGUGGGAAUGGAGCAGAAGGUGGAACUGAUUUCAUUCUGAGCAUCAGUGGAGUCCAGACUGAAGAUGCUGGACAUUAUUACUGUCAGAGUUACCACAGUGGUUAUGUGUUCACACAGUGAUAAAGAGUGGUACAAAAACCUCGGUCAGUCAGAGUCACAGAGACUGAACUGAUGCUGCAGCUGCUCAAAGGAGGAUCUGAAACUCUGUUGUUUUUGCUCUUUCUCCUCAUAUUCUGACUCUCUGUAGGGAGAAGUGAAAUUCUGGAAACUGGACUGAUUGAAUCUGCACAGCUUUGAGGAUUUGAUUUGAUUCGUUGUGCUCUUAUAGAUCCGUCACAUGAUGGAGAUUGAAGCUCAACA